GAUGAACGCUGGCGGCGUGCCUAAUACAUGCAAGUCGAGCGAACGGACGAGAAGCUUGCUUCUCUGAUGUUAGCGGCGGACGGGUGAGUAACACGUGGAUAACCUACCUAUAAGACUGGGAUAACUUCGGGAAACCGGAGCUAAUACCGGAUAAUAUUUUGAACCGCAUGGUUCAAAAGUGAAAGACGGUCUUGCUGUCACUUAUAGAUGGAUCCGCGCUGCAUUAGCUAGUUGGUAAGGUAACGGCUUACCAAGGCAACGAUGCAUAGCCGACCUGAGAGGGUGAUCGGCCACACUGGAACGGAGACACGGUCCAGACUCCUACGGGAGGCAGCAGUAGGGAAUCUUCCGCAAUGGGCGAAAGCCUGACGGGGCAACGCCGCGUGAGUGAUGAAGGUCUUCGGAUCGUAAAACUCUGUUAUUAGGGAAGAACAUAUGUGUAAGUAACUGUGCACAUCUUGACGGUACCUAAUCAGAAAGCCACGGCUAACUACGUG
rnacentral:rRNA from 1 species